UACGUAGGGGGCGAGCGUUGUCCGAAUUUACUGGGCGUAAAGCGCGCGUAGGCGGUCUUUUAAGUCCGGGGUGAAAGGUUCAGCGCUCAACGCGAACAGUGCCCUGGAGACUGGGAGACUUGAGUCCGGCAGGGGGUGGCGGAAUUCCUGGUGUAGCGGUGAAAUGCGUAGAUAUCAAGAGGAACACCUGCGGCGAAGGCGGGUUGCUGGGCCGACACUGACGCUGAAGCGCGAAAGCCAGGGGAGCGAACGGG
rnacentral:rRNA from 1 species